UAGAGAAAGUCUGUAGGUUUAUUGACAGUCACAGUCACAGCUGUACAUGGUAGGUCAUUCUUCAUGAAGCUUGUUUCUCCAGGCAGGAGAGGGGGUGGUCUUGGGCUUUUCCCCAUGGAACUCCUGCAGCUCCUGGGGAGCCCAGCCUUCAAGCUAGUCACAGAGCGAAGAAGACCUUGUUGAACCAAAGCCUUGUUUGGAGUGCACACUAAGACCGUAUCACCUGGGACCCCAUGGUAGCAGCGGGGACUAACUCGGCGUCAAUCCUGAACUGAAAUACGACUUGGAUUUGUCAGAGAGCAUCAGUGGAAAGCAGUGAGGAGGAGGACAGAACUGCACUGUCCCUCUUCUACAUCCAGGCUUUAGAAAACACUACAAACGUGUGGCCUCCCGACAAGGACAGGAGUUUGAGAGUCCCAGUUACGACUGUGAAGUGUGGUGGUGUUCUGAGAGGCAGAGACAGAACCACCGGGGUGCGGGGAGGAAAUGUGACAGGCAGGAGGUCUGAAGAGGAGCUGUGAGGAAAACACUGUAGACCCACGUGCGGCAUCUCUUGCCUGUCCUAAGGCCAUGUUCCCCCGACCCAUCAGAUGUCCCUGCUUUGAGGGAGGACUCAUCAUCUCUGGCUGUUUCCAAAGCCAGAAGCUUACCACGUGGGAAGCUUACCACGCAAAGGGUUCUGCCUCACACCUGGGACAUUCGAUACUCCAAAAUGUUUCUGGAACCUUCUAGAGUGAAAGGCUGCCUUUCUAGCUACACCAUUUUGAGUUUCAUCCUCCAAAUAAAGCUUUGGAGCAAGAGAGGCCAGUCUGUCCCCUGGCUGGUGGCAUGUUCUCCCUGUGACACACCUCAGGUCUCACGAGCUAUGACCAGGGCUCAGCAGUUAGAAAUUCUGAGGGAAGUUCAGAGGACACACCCACCCAUGAAAGAGUGGAGACCCAAGCUGGCUGGGGGUGGCUGCGGCUGCCCCUGCCUCCCGCAGGACUCCUGGUGUGGAGGACAACAGGACUACCUGCAUGGCUGGGGUGACCUGGAAACCCAGCAGCUGCUCUGAUCACCUUGCCAGAUGGUGAGGGACAGGCAGAGCACCCUGGGGUCAGCACGGGGCCCCUCACAGAGCUGCCAGGUCUCUGGAAGCUGGGGGGCCUGGGUCUCAGGUUCUGCUCUAAUCCCAGUACCUCCCGCUUGCACUCAGACAUGAAGAAAACAGUCAACCCAUAUGAACUGUACAAGUGCCCUCCCCACCCCCCUUUCUGUUUGUCUAGCAAGGCACUAGGAAGUGGUUCAAGUUUAGGGAUCAGCUGUUCAGUUGCAUUUUCUCUUUGUAAAAGGCACAGUUUUUAUUGUAACAAAGCUGUACUGCCCUCUGAUGAUCCAGACUCCCCUAUUUGUAAUGCACAUCCUUAUUGGAUUCUGGGAACCUCCUGUUUUGAUUCCUUCCUGGCCAGACACAUGUAAAGUAGACCACUCAUCUUGAAAAGGAUACCAGGAAUCCAAAAGCAGGCUGUGCCUGUGAGGAUAGAGGCUGUGUGGAAGUGUUCCUAUGCCAGGCACUGGACUCCCCUGGAGGCUUGGGAUUGCUUGCCCCUCCCACCAUUGAUAGCCUUGAGACAACAUCUCAAAAGCAGAUUCCCAGUUCUGCUCCCAGAGCCACGUCUCAGUUAUUUCAUCCGUACAUGGCACUAGAGAGCUGCCCAGCUCUAGUUGGCACCCUGAUUUCGAGUGUGUCCUGGACUAGCUGUUGAGGGCCACAGGCUAUGAGAUUCAUUCUGCUUGAGACAAUCCACAGCGGGCAGGUUCCUGUCUGAGGGCCUGUUAGGAGUCUGGCAAGGGGCUGGGGGUGGUGGUGGUGGUGGUGGUGAUGGGAAAGUAGCUUCUGGCCCCACUGCAAUGAGGCUGCAGCUGUGACAGUCAGAGACUGGGUUGCUCCAAAGCCUCUGGUCCCUGUUCCUUCCAGCCCUAGAGGUCACAAACGUCCUGGGCUCAGGGCUGCCUGACUGAUAUGUGUGGCUGCUGCUUGAAUCUCAGCCUCAUAUGCCAGCACGCCAGAGUCCAGUGGCACUUCCUGACUGGAGACAGAGCCACACAAGUCCAGAGUUCAGUGAGAUCAGAACUAUGAGGCAGUCAGAGACUGGCUGUGCUGCCCCCAGUGGACCCAGGAGGCCUCCAGCCUCACAUGGGCAGGGAGCUGCCGAGGAGCUGCCAAGGAGAGACAGAGAGGGCCAGGGAAGCAUGGGCUGGGGAGCUCUGAUCAGCCUGCUCAGUCUACUUGGCCUUUUUCCAAGGCUAGCUGAACUAGC